rnacentral:lncRNA from 1 species
AGUAAUUUAAGUAUCACAAUGAUGAAAAUUUUUAAAAAUUUAAUACAUAUUUUUUCUUAUUUUUCAGGCAAAAAUUAGAGCAAAAAUCAAGUCAAAAUAUCCUAAAAAUAAAAAAUAUUACUUUUGAUGUAUGGUGGACCGGUCGCUCGGUCCAUAGAGUCAAUGGCGCGGUCCAUCGAGAACGUUACAUGGUCCACAGGCAUGGCUUAUGGU